rnacentral:lncRNA from 1 species
UUGUGAGAACGCACACACUAUCAUGAGGACAGCAGCAUCGGUGUAACUGCCCCCAUGAUUCAAUUACCUACCACCAGGUCCCUCCCAUGACACAUGGGAAUUAUGGGGACUCAGAUGGAAUUACUUGGAGGCUGAUAUGGGGCAGCAGACGGUCAUCUUACAGGUCAUUUCAGUCCCUCUCUCCCUCCAUGUCUAAUCCAUAUGAGUUAGUCAUGUUCAUAAACAGGCUUCUCAGCCAAAAAAUAAAACUACCUUCUGAUUUGCAGUGUUUGCCAAUUUCUGUGGUGUAAAUACCUUCAACACUCCCCCCUUUCACCCCUAACAUCUAAAAUUUUCCAGUAUUGUCAGUCCUGAGAGCUAAUCAUUGCCUUUUCCCUAGAACCUUCUUUUGACAUGCAAAAGCCAACUGGAACUCCUCUACACUGCUAAUGGGAAUGUAAAAUGAUAAAAACAACUUUGGAAAAGUUAGGUAGUUUCUUAAAAAGUUAAACAUAUGCUUAUCAUUCCACUCCUAGGAGUUUGCCCAAGAGAAAUCAUAUGUACAAAGACUUGUAGAUGAAUACUUUUUGUAGUCCACAUUUGGAAGCACUCAAUAAAACACGAAAACCUCUGUCUUCUAUAGCCUAUGGUUAAAGCAGGCCCAGGGAAUACUUUUACUCAUUCUUUUAACAUAUAUUUAUCAAGCAUCUAGUAUGUGUCAGGCCCUGAUCAUACAGCAGGAAACAUGACAGAGGAAAAAAAAACCGAAACACUUGCCCUCAUGGAGUUCAUAUUCUAGAGAAUUAAUGAGUAAGUACAUUAUAUAAUAUGUUAGAUAAUAUGGUAGGAGAAAAGUAAUGCAGAGAAAGGCAAAGACGAGGUUGCAGAUUUAGGUUAGGUGGUCAUGGAAAGUCUCACUAAAAAGAAAACAGGUGAGGGAGCCUGCUUUAUGAAUAGCUGGAAAGACAGUCCCAAGGAGCAAGAUGGCCAGUGCAAAGGCCAUGAAGUAGGAAUAUUCUGGGGUAUUAGGGGAACAGCAAAGAGGCCAAUGUGGCCAGAACCAAAUGAGCAAGGGAGACUAGAAGUAUGAGAUGAAACUAGCGAGGCCAGAUUGUGAAGGUCUCGGUAGGCCAUUAUAAGACUUGGGUCUUCAGUCUGAGUGAGAUGGAGGGUUCUGAGCAAAGGGAUUUACUUGAGCUUAGGUUUUAAAGGAUCACUCUGGCUGAUGUGCCAAGAAUAGACUACAUUACAAGGGCAGAAGCAGGGUGACUGCAAUUUGGAACAUUUUAAUUUUCAUGUACCUAGCAUGUAUUCAAGUGAAGUGUUGAGUUUUGAUUUGGAUGUGCAAUUCUGGAGUCAAAGGGGGAAGACUGGGCUAGAGGUAAAAAUGUGGGAGAUAUUAGUGUAUGUAUUCUGUUUAAGGUAAUGAGACUAGAUUGAAUCACUAAAAUUGUGAUUGGUGAUUGAGAAUGGAAGGACCAAGAACUCAGACCUAGGUUGCUUCAACAUUAAAUGGUUAAGAUAAUUUCUUAAGAAAAUCCCUUCAGUGUGUUUUUUUUUUCCUUGAAAACAAAAACAGCCAGAUCGAAACAUGCAAAAUUAUCUUCAGAUGACAGUAAGGUGACACUUAUUUUCAAGUUUACCUAGGCUACAGAGAAAAAAGGAGCCAUGGAAUAGUGGUCUGAGAGAUGUUUGAGAACCCCAAUCUGGUAUCUAUGAAUGGAAGGACUUAUGGAUUGAUUGUAUUAUAUGAUAAUUAAUUCUUCUCUUUUUCUAUUUAGCUGCCAAAGACCU